UUUUGCGCAAUGGGCGAAAGCCUGACGCAGCAACGCCGCGUGGAGGAUGAAGGCCUUCGGGUCGUAAACUCCUGUCAGUGGGGACGAAUGCCUCGCAAGAGGUUUGACUGUACCCGUUGAGGAAGCCACGGCUAACUCCGUGCCAGCAGCCGCGGUAAUACGGAGGUGGCAAGCGUUGUUCGGAAUUACUGGGCGUAAAGGGCGCGUAGGCGGCUUGGCAAGUCAGAUGUGAAAGCCCCGGGCUUAACCCGGGAAUUGCAUCUGAAACUGCUUUGCUUGAGUCCUGGAGGGGGAAGUGGAAUUCCCAGUGUAGCGGUGAAAUGCGUAGAUAUUGGGAGGAACACCUGCGGCGAAGGCGGCUACCUGGACAGUGACUGACGCUGAGGCGCGAAAGCUAGGGGAGCGAACGGG
rnacentral:rRNA from 1 species